rnacentral:rRNA from 1 species
UACGGGGGGGGCAAGCGUUGUUCGGAAUUACUGGGCGUAAAGAGCUCGUAGGUGGUUUGUCGCGUUAUUCGUGAAAACUCACAACUCAAUUGUGGGCGUGCGGGCGAUACGGGCAGACUGGAGUACUGCAGGGGAGACUGGAAUUCCUGGUGUAGCGGUGGAAUGCGCAGAUAUCAGGAGGAACACCGGUGGCGAAGGCGGGUCUCUGGGCAGUAACUGACGCUGAGGAGCGAAAGCGUGGGGAGCGAACGGG